CGGGACGGGUGAGUAACGCGUGGAUAACCUGCCUCACACUGGGGGAUAACAGUUAGAAAUGACUGCUAAUACCGCAUAAGCGCACAGUACCGCAUGGUACAGUGUGAAAAACUCCGGUGGUGCGAGAUGGAUCCGCGUCUGAUUAGCCAGUUGGCGGGGUAACGGCCCACCAAAGCGACGAUCAGUAGCCGACCUGAGAGGGUGACCGGCCACAUUGGGACUGAGACACGGCCCAA
rnacentral:rRNA from 1 species